rnacentral:lncRNA from 1 species
CGGGAGUCUGUCACAUAUCAAUAAUGGCUGUUAUUUACCCUAUUAUACAAAUGUGAAGAGUGUACUCACUUUUGUGAAAUACUUUUGUGAAAUACUUACCAGUCCAGUACAAUAUUAGCCAACUUAGCAUCUGUCUUGUAGUCCUUCUAGGCUCCAAGCUGCCUCCAUCUAACCUUGCUAUCAUCUAUCAUGUAUCAUACUCUUGUUUUAUCUCUGGUCUCUGGUCUGGAUCUUUUUUUAUUUUUAUCAGGAUAUUGAAGUGUCAGCGGCUUGGCAGUGCUGCUCUAUGCACCUUACAGAGGUAAGAUAGGGUUUCACUGAAGGCAAAGCAAGGUCUGGAGCCACUUCACAGUGUGAAGGAACACAGACUGAGAGAGAUACAGACAGAGGGAUGACCAGCCUUUCUCCUUUCCCUUAAUUCACACUUCCCUUUUUCUUUUUCUAUCCUUUUGGGUCUACAACAUCCAGCACAUCUAGUCAUCACUGUCUAGCCACAGCAACAGCAUCAUCUACCAAAGGAGCCUGGUCUUCUGUGUGCCACAGUGGAUGGAUUUGCCUCUAUUCUGGACAGAUUUAAGACUCAUCCUGGUACUUUUCAUGGAAUAUCCAGUCUUAAUGGAUGGAUUCACCUGCUACAAUCACGAUUUCUGACCUUCCAGGACUGUAGGGUCAUUUCUUUUACUUUAUCUUGUACGUGACACAGGAGUAACGCCUGAGGAUGUGGGCAUCUGCGACUGUGUUGACUGUAAUCUACAUCACUCUACCAGGGUCAUGGAGCAGUAAGUGGGUGGUGAGCUUCUCCAGAAAAGACAUCUGCGUCUGGGCCGGAACCACAGUAACGCUGCCCUGCCGCUACGAUUACCCGUCGCCCUACUCUGCCAAGCAGGUGAUAUGGUUCCACAUCACAGCGGACGGCAGAUGGGACAUAGCCUACCACACAGACGCUAACAUGGUGAGCCCCUCCUACAGAGACAGGAUCAAGUACAUGGGGGGCUACAAGAGGUGCAGUCUGCAGAUCACCAACGUUAAGCUGAGCGAUGACGGCCAGUACCACUUCAGGUUCGAGACGGACCAGCCGCAGAGCAGGUGGACCUCACCAGACUCCAUCAGUCUGUCAGUGACGGGUACGGUACACGCUUUACACAUCAGUAGAACAUUUUGUCCUGAUAAAUAUACUGAACUUUUA